rnacentral:rRNA from 1 species
GAUGAACGCUGGCGGCGUGCCUAAUACAUGCAAGUCGAGCGAACGCACGAGUGGCUUCAUCUUCUGACGUUAGCGGCGGACGUGUGAGUUACAUGUGGACAACUUAUCUAUAAGACUGUGAUACCUUCGAAACACCGGAGCUAAUACCGGUUACUAAUUUGUACCGCAUGGUUCCAUACUGAAAUACCGCUUUGCUGUUACUUAUUGAUGGAUCCGCUCCGCAUUAGCUUGUUGGUAAGGUAACGGCUUACCAAGGCAACGAUCCGUAGCCGACCUGAGAGGACGAUCAGCCACACUGGAACUGAGACACGGUCCAGACUCCUACGGGAGGCAGCAGUAGGGAAUCUUCGGCAAUGGGCGAAAGCCUGACGGAGCAACGCCGCGUGAGUGAUGAAGGUCUUCGGAUCGUAAAGCUCUGUUAUUAGGAAAGAACAAAUGUGUAAUUAAAUGUGCACGUCAUGACGGUACCUAAUCAGAAAGCCACGGCUAACUACGUG